AGAGUUUGAUCCUGGCUCAGGAUGAACGCUGGCGGCAUGCCUAAUACAUGCAAGUCGAACGAAGUUUCGAGGAAGCUUGCUUCCAAAGAGACUUAGUGGCGAACGGGUGAGUAACACGUAGGUAACCUGCCCAUGUGUCCGGGAUAACUGCUGGAAACGGUAGCUAAAACCGGAUAGGUAUACAGAGCGCAUGCUCAGUAUAUUAAAGCGCCCAUCAAGGCGUGAACAUGGAUGGACCUGCGGCGCAUUAGCUAGUUGGUGAGGUAACGGCCCACCAAGGCGAUGAUGCGUAGCCGGCCUGAGAGGGUAAACGGCCACAUUGGGACUGAGACACGGCCCAAACUCCUACGGGAGGCAGCAGUAGGGAAUUUUCGUCAAUGGGGGGAACCCUGAACGAGCAAUGCCGCGUGAGUGAAGAAGGUCUUCGGAUCGUAAAGCUCUGUUGUAAGUGAAGAACGGAUCAUAGAGGAAAUGCUAUGGGAGUGACGGUAGCUUACCAGAAAGCCACGGCUAACUACGUGCCAGCAGCCGCGGUAAUACGUAGGUGGCAAGCGUUAUCCGGAAUCAUUGGGCGUAAAGGGUGCGUAGGUGGCGUACUAAGUCUGUAGUAAAAGGCAAUGGCUCAACCAUUGUAAGCUAUGGAAACUGGUAUGCUGGAGUGCAGAAGAGGGCGAUGGAAUUCCAUGUGUAGCGGUAAAAUGCGUAGAUAUAUGGAGGAACACCAGUGGCGAAGGCGGUCGCCUGGUCUGUAACUGACACUGAGGCACGAAAGCGUGGGGAGCAAAUAGGAUUAGAUACCCUAGUAGUCCACGCCGUAAACGAUGAGAACUAAGUGUUGGAGGAAUUCAGUGCUGCAGUUAACGCAAUAAGUUCUCCGCCUGGGGAGUAUGCACGCAAGUGUGAAACUCAAAGGAAUUGACGGGGGCCCGCACAAGCGGUGGAGU
rnacentral:rRNA from 1 species